rnacentral:rRNA from 1 species
ACGCUGGCGGCGUGCUUAACACAUGCAAGUCGAACGAAGCUGUUGUUCGGAGACCUUCGGGUGGAAGAAUGACAGACUGAGUGGCGGACGGGUGAGUAACGCGUGGGUAACCUACCUUGCACAGGGGGACAACAGUUGGAAACGACUGCUAAUACCGCAUAAGACCACAGUACCGCAUGGUACAGGGGUAAAAACUGAGGUGGUGCAAGAUGGACCCGCGUCUGAUUAGCUAGUUGGUGGGGUAAAGGCCUACCAAGGCGACGAUCAGUAGCCGACCUGAGAGGGUGAUCGGCCACAUUGGGACUGAGACACGGCCCAAACUCCUACGGGAGGCAGCAGUGGGGAAUAUUGGACAAUGGGGGAACCCUGAUCCAGCGACGCCGCGUGAGUGAAGAAGUAUUUCGGUAUGUAAAGCUCUAUCAGCAGGGAAGAAAAUGACGGUACCUGACUAAGAAGCCCCGGCUAACUACGUGCCAGCAGCCGCGGUAAUACGUAGGGGGCAAGCGUUAUCCGGAUUUACUGGGUGUAAAGGGAGCGCAGACGGCUUGGCAAGUCUGAAGUGAAAGCCCGGGGCUUAACCCCGGGACUGCUUUGGAAACUGUGAAGCUAGAGUGUCGGAGAGGUAAGUGGAAUUCCCAGUGUAGCGGUGAAAUGCGUAGAUAUUGGGAGGAACACCGGUGGCGAAGGCGGCUUACUGGACGAUAACUGACGUUGAGGCUCGAAGGCGUGGGGAGCAAACAGGAUUAGAUACCCUGGUAGUCCACGCGGUAAACGAUGAAUACUAGGUGUCGGGGGACAUAGUCUUUCGGUGCCGCCGCUAACGCAUUAAGUAUUCCACCUGGGGAGUACGUUCGCAAGAAUGGAACUCAAAGGAAUUGACGGGGACCCGCACAAGCGGUGGAGC